rnacentral:rRNA from 1 species
CGCGAAUGGCUCAUUACAACAGCUAUAAUUUACUUGAUCUUGACACAAUCCUACUUGGAUAACUGUGGUAAUUCUAGAGCUAAUACAUGCAUUAAAGCUCUGACCUCACGGGAAGAGUGCAUUUAUUAGAACAAAACCAAGCGGCUUCGGCUGUUUCUGGUUGACUCAUAGUAACUGAGCUGAUCGCACGGUCUUGCACCGGCGACGUGUCUUUCAAGUAUCUGCCGUAUCAACUUUCGAUGGUAGUGUAUCUGACUACCAUGGUGAUCACGCGUAACGGAGAAUAAGGGUUCGGCUCCGGAGAGUUCGCCUGAGAAAUCGCGAACACAUCUAAGGAAGGCAGCAGGCGCGAAAAUUACCCACUCUCAGCACGAGGAGGUAGUGACGAAAAAUAACGAGACCGUUCUCUUAUGAGGCCGGUCAUCGGAAUGGGUACAAUUUAAACCCUUUAACGAGUAUCUAUGAGAGGGCAAGUCUGGUGCCAGCAGCCGCGGUAAUUCCAGCU